UUCGAAACUUCGGCUUUAGAUCUACGACGAUAGAAGUAGCGGCUCAGAAAAGUGGUUGUACUUUCGGAAUCUGGCAUAUAUAUAGUGUUAGGGUUUUGGGUUGAUGGAAAAACGAGAUAUUUUAUUAAUUUCGGAAUUAAUUAAUUUCGUGAAUAAAAAUAAUUCUAGAAAAUCCAGAGUUGAUAUUUAAGGUCAAAAAAAAUACUCCGAAGGCUCAAAAAAUUAUAAGAAAAUUUUUAGAGAUAUUUUAGAACACGAGGAACCCAAAUAAAAUAUUUAUAGCUCAUGAAAAGAUAUCUAAAAGUAUUUUAAAAUUAGAUUAUGCUCAUAGGAAAGUGCAAAAGAAUUUCAGAAAAAACUAGAAAACUCCCGAGAAAUUUUAAUAGAUCGAUUGAUGGAAGAUAUACCCAAAAUCAAAAAUUUUGGGGUGUGACAAAAACCAAAGAGGCAUAGAUGGGAAAGAAAUACAAAAAAAUCAAACGUCCCCGUCAUGAAGAAAAAAGAAAAGAGGGAAAAAUAUACACAAGAUAGAGCCCAU
rnacentral:lncRNA from 1 species